GACGAAGGGGGCUAGCGUUGUUCGGAAUUACUGGGCGUAAAGCGAGUGUAGGUGGUUGUCCAAGUUGGAUGUGAAAGCCUUGAGCUCAACUCAAGAAAUGCAUUCAGGACUGGGCGGCUAGAGGACCGGAGAGGAUAGUGGAAUUCCCAGUGUAGUGGUGAAAUACGUAGAGAUUGGGAAGAACACCAGUGGCGAAGGCGGCUAUCUGGACGGUUUCUGACACUAAGGCGCGAAAGCGUGGGGAGCGAACAGG
rnacentral:rRNA from 1 species